GGGCUCAAGUUGUGAUAUGAGAACCUGCAAAGGAAAAAUCACACAUUUCAGAAUUAAAAUCAUGAUGAUAAUUGUCACAUAAGAGCUUAUGCAUGUCUUCUUCAGUCAUAGGCUUCAAUUUCUGGAGGAAAAAGCUCAGCUAUGGCAUCACCAGAAAGAGAUACAAACAACUCGGUGAACAAUCUGAAAAACAAGCCAAUCUAAU
rnacentral:misc_RNA from 1 species